UACAGUUCGUUUCUAGGCUGAGGCAACCAAAUAAAGACAAACUGCAGAGUAUCUCAGAGUUUGUAGGUUUAUUAUGCUCAAGCGUGGUACCGCUCUGUUAAGCAGAACAGGACCCCGAUUACAGGUUACACAAAGAUUAUAUACUGUUGGCAAAACAUCCUGCCUGUGUGCCUCGGGGGGCCUAAACCAAUAAACAGGCCUUCUCCUUAUCUAUUACCAAUCCCCUGCAGCCACCU